rnacentral:rRNA from 1 species
CAGCCGUAAACAAUGUGCGUUAGGUGUGUCGGUAACCACGCGUUACUGAUGCGCCGAAGAGAAAUCGUGAAACGCACCACCUGGGAAGUACGGUCGCAAGGCUGAAACUUAAAGGAAUUGGCGGGGGAGCACCACAACAGGUGGAGCCUGCGGUUUAAUCGGACUCAACGCCGGGAAUCUCACCGAAUAAGACAGCUGAACGAUAGUCGGGAUGAAGACUCUACUUGACUAGCUGAGAGGUGGUGCAUGGCGUAGUCGUGU